rnacentral:tRNA from 1 species
UGGCUUGGUGGUUAAAGUGAUUGUCUGCCAACCAAAAGGUUGGUGGUUCGAACCCACC